rnacentral:rRNA from 1 species
GACAGAGGGGGCAAGCGUUGCUCGGAAUUACUGGGCGUAAAGGGCGCGUAGGCGGGAUGGCAAGUCGGUCGUGAAAUCCCUCGGCUCAACCGAGGAACGUCGAUCGAUACUGCUGUUCUUGAGGAUUGCAGAGGAGACUGGAAUUCCCGGUGUAGCGGUGAAAUGUGUAGAGAUGCGGAGGAACACCGAUGGCGAAGGCAGCCCCCUGGGCUAGCGCUGACGCUCAGGCACGAAAGCGUGGGGAGCAAACAGG